GGAUUUGCCGCCGCGCUUGGGAAGCCGCCACCGCCGCCGCUGCUGCAUGGCACUAGGCUCCCGGCGGGGCAGGUUCCGCAGCCGGCACCGCUCUGGCUAGGCGCACGGAGGCGCCUUGCUUAGUCUGACCCUUAUUUGGCCAGGCGUAAAACUUGUCCUGCCUAAAAGCCUACUGAGACCUCCUAACUGGUCUAAUCCGCGGGAGACGCCAAAGGCGGCGGCCGUUUGUGCGCACAGGAUUUUUCUUGGAGCUGUAGCAGUCUAGGAAGCCAGGGUGGAACUUUUGCUAAGCUCCCGUUGUAAGCCCAGAGCUGUAAUAACUGCUGAGACACAACCAGCAGUAUACAGGCUCCAGUUGGAAAUCGAGAACUUUCCAGGGCUGUCACCCAGGCUGGAGUGCAGUGGUGCCAUCACAGCUCACUGCAGCCUCGACCUCCUAGGCUAAAGUGAUCCUCCCAACUCAGCCUCCCGUAGCUGGGACUACAGGAAUGUGCCACGCCCAGGAUCCCUGUACAGACGCUGCCGAGUCAAAUUUAGUGCCAAAGGGAAUGUGUGCUUUAUUUGAUCAGCGCUGAUUUCUGAGCUGGGCCCUGGAAAAAGAAAACAUGGAUUUUGUCAGUAUCUGUGGACCCAGAAAAAGGUAUCCUUAUUGCAAUCUGUCCUGAUUACAGCUGUGCUGGUACCAAGUGUGGCACUCAGAAUAUCCAGUAUGCUCUCAUGUCAACCAAACUUAAUUUCUGUAUGCAGCAAAUGCUAGGGCCUGUUAAAUGGAUGAAAUGUACAGCUUGUAAAAUAUCUGCUUCUUAAGUUGGAAGUGACUUUGUCUUUGAUAACUUUACCUCUCCAAAGAAAAUCUUCUACCACCCACUCAAAAUGUCAGGUUCCUCCUGGUCUCCAUAAUGAUCCAUAAAUAUCUACCCUGAACUCAUGAUGAUGAUUGGAUUCAACAUUAUAAUUGCAUAUGCCUGACUUUUCCACUCUGUCAACAGCCUCUUUUCUGGAGUAUCUCCCAGUGAUCAUGUCAUAUCCUGUUAGGUAAAUUGUGAACCUGUAGGAUUGUAUCUCCUAGUUUUAUGAGUGAAGAUCACAUUUAAUUCUCUGUCAUUUUCAGAACAUAACACAUCGUUAGUGCUUUAAAAGGAUGAAACAUGCAGGGCAUUUGUAAACUUUAAAAGUACUUUUUUAUCUGUUAUUUUAUGCAAUCCCUACAAUUAUCCUUUGAGGGCUGGCAAAUCCCGGUUUGACAAAUGAGAAAACUGAGGCAUAAAGGCUAAGUGACUUCUCUGAAGUCACACAGUGACAGAACCAGAUUUAGGAUCCAGUUCCCUUGACUCCUAGACUCAGACUUUUUUUUUUGUUAAAUAUUGUCUAGUCAUAUUACUACUCUCUGAAAGCUAUUCCCACCAGAAGUCUCAUUUUAAUUAGAUAUUUCAUACCUUUAAACUCUGUAGUGUGGCUAGCAUUUACAAAAUCAUGCUGAGUAGAGGCAGUGAACAAGGCUUGGGUUGCCCAAAGCAGAAAAAAGAUAUAAAGAUGAAACCACCAGACAGAUUUUAUUUAUGACUAUUUUAGAGAGGGUAGUGCAACCUCUGAUUCUCCUUAACACCAAGUUCUGUUGAAACUCAGUCUUUAUCACAGGAACCACUGGGUGCCUUUCUCAUGGCCACAGCAGCUUGGCUUACAACCGUCUUCAAACAGCCAGGCUGUGCCCCAGAACUUCACUGGGCUUCCUUCCAUAACUAUGGAUCUGUGAGCAUCACUUUAAUUUCAGAGUGUGGAAGACACCUUAAUAAGAAUCAUGAAUCACAUUUUACAAAUCAGGAUACACAGGAUGUAAGGUUAAGUGACCUGUCCUAUCAGGGCCACAAAGCCAGUUAAACUUCUUUAUUAACUGAGUCACUUAAAAAUCAUUUAUUUAAAAACCUAUUUUGUUCCAGGAACUAUUCUGGGUACUGGAAAUAAAACAGUGGAGACAGAGAGAGGGGAAAUAAAAAACAAGACAAAAAUGAUUGCUUUGGUGGAGUUUAUAUAUUCCACUGGAAGAAGGUAGAUAAUAAAUAAAAGUGAAAAAGUACAUUAUAAGGUGGGAGGAAGGCUUGAGCCUAGGAGGUUGAGGUUGCAGUGGGCCGAGAUUGUGCCACUGCACUCUAGACUGGGCAACAGGGCAAGACGUUGUCUCAAAAAAAAAAAAAAAAAAAGAAAAGUAAAUUAUAGAGUAUCUUAAAAGGUGACAUUACAUGAAAGAAAAACAAAGCAGAAAAAAGGGUAAGUAGUUCUGGGCACUAAGUACAUUUUAAACAGGGUAGUCGGGGUUAUUGACUGAGAAAGUGAUAUUUUUUGGCAAUAACUUAAAAUGGCAAAGAAGUAAGCAAUGAGAAUAUCUGAGGAAAGCCUGUGCAAAGCCCCUAAGGCAGGAACAUGAUGACAUCAUUGGGAGACCAGAGCUAGGAGUACUGGGGCAGCAUGAGCCAGAUGCAUAAUAGUUUGAUAUGAAAUCUUAGAGGUCAUGAAGAGCCAGAUUUAUGUAGGGUCUUGUAGGCCAUAGUAAAGAUUUUGGUUUUUAACCUGAGUGAGUGAGAUGAGGAAACACUGAAGAAUUUUGAGUAAUGGAAUGAUAUCUUUGAGCUUAGUUUUAAAUGGAUUAUUCUGGGUUUUGUGGUAAAGAAUGGAUUAGAGCGAGGACAGCAUAGAACUAGGGAAACCAGUUAGAGAUCUAUCACAAUAGAUUUAGUCAAGAGAAGAUGGUGGCUCAGAUCAAGUGGUAGAGGUUGAAAUGGUGAGAAGAAGUCAGAUUCUAGAUGUAUUUUGAAGAAGGAGCCAAGAAGAUGUGUUGAAAAAUCAAAUUUGGGGUGAAAAAAGAAAAGGAGAAAUUAAAGAUGACUUGAAGUUUAUAGCCUGAGCAAUUGAAAAGAUAUAUUUGCAGUUAACUAAGAUGGCAUAGCCUUCAAAAGGACCAGGUUUGGAAAGUGAUGAACCAUUCAGUUUUAGAAAUAUUUAGUUUGAGAUGUGUAUUGGAUAUCCAAGCAGUAAUGUCAAAUAAGCAAUUGGGUAUGAAUUUAGAGUUCAGGUAAGAGAAUUGAACUAGAGAAUUUAGCUGUUAGCAGAGUAUAGAUGAUAUUGAAAGCCAUGAGAAUACCAGAGGAUUGAAUGUAGAUAGAGAAAAGAAGAGCCAUCUAAGGAUUAAACCCUGAGAUACAUUUGGUAUGUUAGUCUAGAACUCAAUCAUAGGUUCUUAACAAACUGCGCUCUGGAGUAUUGGUUUAAGGCUUAUAGAAUUGGAUUAACCCUACUUUGUGCUACUAAAGACAAAAUUUCAUAAAAGCCUCUCAAGAAUCCAAAGUUUAUUAUAAACCAAGCUUUCCUUAAAUGUCAAGUAUGUUGAAGUAUUGUUCAUAUUCAUGGAGUAAAAUGACAGCAACAUUUCAUAGGGUUGCCCCCACCCCCAACCUUUUGGAUCUGGUGCUAGUUUAUUCUUCAUUGUUUCUGUGUACUUUCUCCAUGAAGACUGCAACCCCUUGAACAAUUAGCCCCCAACAGACUGAGUAAGUACUAGCCAAACACUGGAUUCCUAUAGCUAUGUUAAUGUAUUGCUUUGGGGACUAUGGAGCUUUCAGAUAACGAUGCUCUUUUUUUCUUGUAGAGUGAGAGCAUUUUUCUAGGAGUUAGUUUUAAGAUGGUCGAAUCCAUAUUAGCUUUGUAUCCCUAUCCUCUAGGCACUAGUUCAAGGAUUUAAGUGUAUGCAAGAAUCAGAAUAUGCUUAUUUAAAAUGCAGAUUCUCUGGUCUUUUUAAAGUAUAAUUUUUAAAAAUUUCUUUAUUAUUAUUAUUAUUAAACUUUAAGUUUUAGGGUACAUGUGCACACUGUGCAGGUUAGUUACAUAUGUAUACAUGUGCCAUGCUGGUGUGCUGCACCCAUUAACUCGUCUUUUAGCAUUAGGUAUAUCUCCUAAUGCUAUCCCUCCCCCCUCCCCCCACCCCACAACAGUCCCCAGAGUGUGAUGUUCCCCUUCCUGUGUUCAUGUGUUCUCAUUGUUCAAUUCCCACCUAUGAGUGAGAACAUGCGGUGUUUGGUUUUUUGUUCUUGCGAUAGUUUACUGAGAAUGAUGAUUUCCAGUUUCAUCCAUGUCCCUACAAAGGACAUGAACUCACCAUUUUUUAUGGCUGCAUAGUAUUCCAUGGUGUAUAUGUGCCACAUUUUCUUAAUCCAGUCUAUCAUUGUUGGACAUUUGGAUUGAUUCCCAGUCUUUGCUAUUGUGAAUAGUGCCGCAAUAAACAUACGUGUGCAUGUGUCUUUAUAGCAGCAUGAUUUAUAGUCCUUUGGGUAUAUACCCAGUAAUGGGAUGGCUGGGUCAAAUGGUAUUUCUAGUUCAAGAUCCCUGAGGAAUCGCCGCACUGACUUCCACAAGGGUUGAACUAGUUUACAGUCCCACUAACAGUGUAAAAGUGUUCCUAUUUCUCCACAUCCUCUCCAGCACCUGUUGUUUCCUGACUUAAUGAUUGCCAUUCUAACUGGUGUGAGGUGGUAUCUCAUUGUGGUUUUGAUUUGCAUUUCUCUGAUGGCCAGUGAUGAUGAGCAUUUUUUCAUGUGUUUUUUGGCUGCAUAGAUGUCUUCUUUUGAGAAGUAUCUGUUCAUGUCCUUUGCCCACUUUUUGAUGGUGUUGUUUGUUUUUUUCUUGUAAAUUUGUUUGAGUUCAUUGUAGAUUCUGGAUAUUAGCCCUUUGUCAGAUGAGUAGGUUGCUAAAAUUUUCUCCCAUUUUGUAGGUUGCCUGUUCACUCUGAUAGUAGUUUCUUUUGCUGUGCAGAAGCUCUUUAGUUUAAUUAGAUCCCAUUUGUCAAUUUUGUCUUUUGUUGCCAUUGCUUUUGGUGUUUUAGACAUGAAGUCCUUCCUAAGCCAAGAGAACAAAGCUGGCGGCAUCACGCUACCUGACUUCAAACUAUACUACAAGGCUACAGUAACCAAAACAGCAUGGUACUGGUACCAAAACAGAGAUAUAGAUCAAUGGAACAGAACAGAGCCCUCAGAAAUAACGCCACGUAUCUACAACUAUCUGAUCUUUGACAAACCUGAGAAAAACAAGCAACGGGGAAAGGGUUCCCUAUUUAAUAAAUAGUGGUGGGAAAACUGGCUAGCCAUAUGUAGAAAGCUGAAACUGGAUCCCUUCCUUACACCUUAUACAAAAAUUAAUUCAACAUGGAUUAAAGACUUAAACGUUAGACCUAAAACCAUAAAAACCCUAGAAGAAAACCUAGGCAUUACCAUUCAGGACAUAGGCAUGGGCAAGGACUUCAUGUCUAAAAAUUUCUGUUUCUAUUUUUUUUAUUGAUAUGUAGUAGUUGUAGAUUCUCUGGUCUUAUCUUUAGAGAUUCCGAUACUUUAGGUCUGUAGUGGAGCCUAUGAAUUGGUACAACAAGUGAUUCUGAUGCUGAUUCAGAAUCAGAAGAGGCAACUUACUGUUGACAGUGGACAAGUGAUUCUGUUAGGCCAUUUCUUUGAUAUAGGAAGAUAAAUUUCUAGGGUUGCUGGGAAGAUUAUGGACAGAUUAUGAUCUUGAAAGAAGUCCUAAAGGUGGACUGUAUUAAAUAAAGUGUAUAUUCUAGGAAAGAGGAUGUAAAUCCAUAUAGGGGAGAUUUCUUUUUCUAAUAAUCAGCUUUAUCAAUGGAAAGAUACUUGUGAAUGUGUUUCAUCUUUGAAGAAUAAAAGAAAAUAUCAAUUUGAGAUGUCAUAGAGAAGGUUCCUCUGUGGGAAAUAAGGUUUUACUAGUUGACUUCUAAAGCUGCCGUAAAUUAUUUUUCAGAACAAGACAAAGAAUGUAUAAAGAAGUAGCCUCUUGGGUUUCUACCAGCUCACAGAUUCUUUGGGUGUUUUUAAGGCAUUCAAAAGAGAAAGGACUAGCUCAUAUUUUUAUCACAGUUUUUGCCUACUUCCUUCAACAUGGGGGCAUCCUGGUAGAGAAAAACAAUUUAAAACUGUUUCCAGAUAUUUUGGUAAAAGUUUCCACUCUACUAUGGGUAAGUAGUGAAUUAGAAUUAGCAUGACUAGGAUUGCUACUAUCUUUGGAUAAGACUUAUAAACCACAUGAAUGAUAAGAAAGAAACUGUUAUAUGAAGAGUUUGCCCUGGAUGAUUUCUAAGAACUCUUUACUUCUAGGUUCUCUAAGUUCUAAAACCCUAUAGGUUCACCUGAGUUCUUAUCCACCCUUAUGAAAAACUGCUAGAGAACUCACAGAAUUUCAUCUCUCUACCUCAUUCCCUGAACAAAGUCAGGGAAUGAGGUAGAGAGAUGACUCCAAUAACCCCAGCUCCUUAUUCCAUCUUUUAAAUGAUUUUUUAUAAAUUUCAGUAGGUUUUUGGGGAACAGGUGGUGUUUGGUUACAUGGAUAAGUUCUUUAGUGGUGAUUUCUGAGAUUUUGGUGCACCCAUCACCCAAGCAGUAUACACCGUAUCCAAUGUAUAGUCUUUUAUCCCUCACUCCCCUCCCACCCUUCCCCCUGAAUCUGCAAAGUCCAUUGCAUCAUUUUUAUGUCUUUGCAUCCUUAGAGCUUAGCUCCGUCUCAUGAGUGAGAACAUACAAUGCAUCGUUUUCCAUUCCUGGGUUACUUCACUUAGAAUAAUGGUCUCCAAAUCCAUCCAGGUUCCUUCGAAUUACAUUAUUUCAUUCUUUUUUAUGACUGAGUAGUAUUUCAUAGUAUAUGUAUAUAUAUAUAUUGCAUUUUCUUUAUCCACUCGUUGAUCGAUGAGCAUUUGGGCUGGUUCCAUAUUUUUGCAAUUGCGAAUUAUGUUGCUAUAAACAUGCAUGUGCAAGUGUCUUUUUUAUAUUAUGACUUUUCCUCUGGGUAGAUAUCCAGUAGCAGGAUUCCUGGAGCAAAUGGCAAAUCUACUUUUAGUUCUUUAAGGAAUCUCCAUAUUUUUUUCCAUACCAGCAGGGUAAAAGUGUUCCCUUUUCACCACAGCCAUGCCAACAUCUAUUAUUUUUGGAUUUUUUAAUUAUGACCAUUCUUGCAGAAGUAAGGUGGUAUUGCACUGUGGUUUUGAUUUGCAUUUCCCUGAUAAUUAGUGAUACUGAGCAUUUUAAAAAUAUGUUUGUUGGCCAUGUGUAUAUCUUCUUUUGAUAAUUGUCUAUUUAUGUCCUUAGCCAACUUUUUGAUGUGAUUAUUUGUAUUUGGUUGGAUUUUUUUUUUUUUGUCUUGUGAUUUGUUUGAUUGCCUUGUAGAUUCUGGAUAUUAUUCCUUUGUUGAAUGCUUCGUUUGUGAAGAUUUUCUCCCACUCUGAGGGUUCUGUUUACUCUGCUGAUUAUUUCUUUUGCGGUAUAGAAGCUUUUUAGUUUAAUUAAGUUCCACCUUUUUAUUUUUGUUUUUGUUGCAUUUGCUUUAGGGUUCUUGGUCAUGAAGUCUUUGCCUAAGCCAAUGUUUAGAAGGGUUUUUCUGAUGUUACCUUCUAGAAUGUUUACAGUUUCAGGUCUCAGAUUUAAAUCUUUGAUCCAUAUUGAAUUGAUGUUUGUAUAAGGUGAGAGAUUAGGAUCUAGUUUCAUUCUCCUACAUGUGUCUUGCCAAUUAUCCCAGCACCAAUUGUUAAAUAGGGUGUACUUUCUCCACUUUAUGUUUUUGUUUGCUUUGUUGAAGAUCAGCUGGCUGUAAGUAUUUGGCUUUAUUUCUGGGUUCUCUAUUCUGUUCCAUUAGUCUACAUGCUUAUUUUUAUACCAGAACCAUGCAGUUUUGGUGAUUAUAGCCUUGUAGUAUAGUUUGAAGCCAGGUAAUGUGAUGCCUCCAGAUUUGUUUUUUUGCUGCUUAGUCUGGCUUUGGCUAUGCAGGCUUUUUUUUUGUUUUAGUUCCAUAUGAAUUUUAGGGUUGUUUUUUCUAGUUGUGUGAAGAAUUAUAAUGAUAUUUUGAUGGGAAUUGCAUUAAAUUUUUAGAUUGCUUUUGGCAGCAUGGUCAUUUUGACAUUAUUGGUUCUGCCCAUCCAUGAGUAUGGGAUGUGUUUUUAUUUGUUUGUGUCAUCUAUGAUUUCUUUCAGCAGUGUUUUGUAGUUUUUGUUGUAGAGGUCUUUCAACUCCUUGGUUAGGUAUUGUGUAAGGCCAUGGGAGCCCACCUCUUCCAUCAGCAUGACCUAGAUGUGAGACAUAGAGGCAAAGGAGAACAUUUCAGAGCUUUAAGAUUUGAUUGCCCUGCUGGAUUUCAGACUCGCAUGGGGCCUGGAGCCCCUUCAUUUUGGCCAAUUUCGCUCAUUUGGAACAGCUAUAUUUACCCAAUGCCUUUACCCCCAUUGUAUCUAGGAAGUAACUAACUUGCUUUUGAUAUUAUAGGCUCAUAGGUGGAAGAGACUUGCCUUGUCUCAGAUGAGACUUUGGACUUGGACUUUUGGGUUAGUGCUGGAAUGAAGCUUCUGAACAGCAAAAGAAACCGUCAUCAGAGUGAAUAGGCAAACUACAGAAUGGGGGGAAAAUUUUGCAAUCUAUCCAUCUGACAAAGGGCUAAUAUCCAGAAUCUACAAGAAACUUAAACAAAUAUACAAGAAAAAAACAAACAACCCCAUGAAAAAGUGGGCAAAGGAUAUAAACAGACACUUCUCAAAAGAAGACAUUUUUGGGAGGACAAGGUGGGUGGAUCACCGGAGGUGAGGAGUUUGAGACAAGCCUGGCCAAUAUGGAGAAACCCCGUCUUUACUAAAAAUACAAAAAUUUGCUGGGCGUGCUGGUGGGCACUUGUAAUCCCAGCUACUUGGAAGGCUGAGGCAGGAGAAUUGCUUGAACCCCAGAGGCGGAGGUUGCAGUGGGCCAAGAUUGUGCCACUGCACUCCAGCUUGGGUGACAAGAGCAAAACUCUGUCUCAAAAAAAAAAAAAAAAAAACCAUAAUCCCAGGACUUUGGGAGGCCGAGGCGGGCAGAUCAUGAGGUCAGGAGAUUGAGAACAUCCUGGCUAACACGGUGAAACCCUGUCUCUACUAAAAAUACAAAAAAUUAGCCAGGUGUGGUGGCAGGUGCCUGUGGUCCCAGCUACUUGCGAGGCUGAGGCAGGAGAAUGGCGUGAACCCGGGAGGCAGAGCUUGCAGUGAGCUGAGAUCGUGCCACUGCACCCCAGCCUGGGCGACAGAGUGAGAAUCCAUCUCAAAAAAAAAAAAAAAAGAAACAGAAGACAUUUAUGUGACCAACAAACAUAUGAAAAAAAGCUCAUCAUCACUGGUCAUUAGAUCAAUGCAAAUCAAAACCACAAUGAGAUACCAUCUCACGCCAGUUAGAAUGGCGAACAUUAAAAAGUCGGGAAAUAACAGAUGCUGGAGAGGAUGUGGAGAAACAGGAACGCUUUUACACUGUUGCUGGGACGGUAAACUAGUUCAACCAUUGUGGAAGACAGUGUGGCACUUCCUCAAGGAUCUAGAACCAGUAAUACCGUUUGACCCAGCAAUGCCAUUACUGGGUAUAUACUCAAAGGAUUAUAAAUCAUUCUGCUAUAAAGACGCAUGCAUACAUAUGUUUACUGCAGCACUGUUCACAAAAGCAAAGACAUGGAACCAACCCAAAUGCCCAUCAAUGAUAGACUGGAUUAAGAAAAUGUGGCACAUAUACACCAUAGAGUAGUAUGCAGCCAUAGAAAGGAUGAGUUAAUGUCCUUUGCAGGGAUAUGGAUGAAGCUGAAAACCAUCAUUCUCAGCAAGCUUACACAGGAACAGAAAACCAAACACCGCAUGUUCUCACUCGUAAGUGGGAGUUGAACAAUGAGAACACAUGGACACAGGGAGGGGAACAUCACACACCGGGGCCUGAUGAGGAAUGGGAGUUAGGGGAGGGAUAGCAUCAGAAGAAAUACCUAAUGUAGAUGACGGGUUGAUGGGUGCAGCAAACCACCAUGGCAUGUGUAGACCUAUGUAACAAACGUGCACGUUCUGCACAGGUAUCCCAGAACUUAAAGUAUUAAAAAAAAAAAAAGACUUUGGGGGACUAUUGGGAAGGCAUGAUUUGUUUUGAAAUGUAAAAGAGACAUGAGGUUUGGGAGGGGCCCGGGGCAGAAUGAUAUGGUUAGGUUUUGUGCCCCCACCCAAAUCUCAUCUUGAAUUGUAAUCCCCAUAAUCCCCACGUGUCAAGGGAGAGACCAGGUGGAGAUAAUUUAAUCAUGGGGUCAGUUCCCCAAUGCUGACCUCAUGAUAGUGAGUUCUUAUGAGAUGUGAUGGUUUUAUAUAGGCCUCUUCCCUCUUCACUGGGCACUUCUCCUUCCUGCCACCUUGUGAUGAAGGUGCUUUGCUUCCCCAUCACCUUCUGCCAUGAUUGUAAGUUUCCUGAGGUCUCCCCAGUCAUGCCGAACUGUGAGUCAAUUAAAUCUUUUUCCUGUAUAAAUUACCCAGUCUUGGGCAGUUCUUUACAACAGUAUGAAAAUGGAC
rnacentral:lncRNA from 1 species